UGUGGCGAGAUGCGGACCAGAUCCUAAUUAUAUGUGUUAGGAUUAGCCGAAAUUAAACUCUAAGUGUAUGUGUUAGAGUCUAAUCAAGAGAUGAAUCAAUUAAAUCCUAAAUUUAUAAGUUAGGAUUAGUUAAAGUUUAAACUCUAAGUGUAUGUAUUAGAGUUUAAUUUAAUGAACUCUAAGUAUAUAUAUUAGAGCUCAAUUGAUUUGAUCGAGUGAAACCUUGUAUAUGGUUUGAUCAAUUCUAAUUAAAUAUUUUAGAAUUUGAUCGAGUUUGAAUAUGUCAAGAUUUAGCUCUAGUUAUAUAUGCUAGAGAAAAGGUUUGAUAUGGGCUAAUUAUGGGCUCAAUUUAAUUUGGACUCGGAUUGGCUAUAGGAUUUGGAUUUGGAUCAGAUAUAAUAUUUGGAUUUGAUAUGGGAUUUUGGGUUUGAUAUUGGGCAUUGAAUGGGAUUAGCAUUGAAUGGGAUUUGGAUUUGAUAUGGGCUUGUUAUAGGAUUCGGAUUUGGAUUGGUAUAGAUUUUGGAUUUGGGUUGAUUUGGAUUUGGACUCAAUUUGGGGUUGAGAUUUGAGCUUGGGUUUAAUUUAGGAUUUGGGUUUGAAUUUGGAUUUGAGCUUGAUAUGGAUUU
rnacentral:lncRNA from 1 species